CCCCAGACUGACCUGGUGUUCAUCUUGUGUGUCUGGAAGCCCAGAUAAGGGUCGAGGAUGAGGGUCAGGUUUAAGGUUAGGGUUAAGGCCCCAGACUGACCUGGUGUUCAUCUUGUGUGUCUGGAAGCCCAGAUAAGGGUCGAGGAUGAGGGUCAGGUUUAAGGUUAGGGUUAAGGCCCCAGACUGACCUGGUGUUCAUCUUGUGUGUCUGGAAGCCCAGAUAAGGGUCGAGGAUGAGGGUCAGGGUCAGGUUUAAGGUUAGGGUUAAGGCCCCAGACUGACCUGGUGUUCAUCUUGUGUGUCUGGAAGCCCAGAUAAGGGUUGAGGAUGAGGGUCAGGUUUAAGGUUAGGGUUAAGGCCCCAGACUGACCUGGUGUUCAUCUUGUGUGUCUGGAAGCCCAGAUAAGGGUCGAGGAUGAGGGUCAGGUUUAAGGUUAGGGUUAAGGCCCCAGACUGACCUGGUGUUCAUCUUGUGUGUCUGGAAGCCCAGAUAAGGGUCGAGGAUGAG